UACGUAGGGGGCAAGCGUUGUCCGGAAUCAUUGGGCGUAAAGGGUGCGUAGGUGGCAUGGCCAGUUUGAUGUGAAAGCUCAGGGCUUAACCCUGAAAUGGCAUUGAAUACUGCUGUGCUGGAGGUUUGGAGGGGGGACUGGAAUUCUUGGUGUAGCAGUGAAAUGCGUAGAUAUCAAGAGGAACACCAGUGGCGAAGGCGAGUCCCUGGACAACACCUGACACUGAGGCACGAAAGCUAGGGGAGCAAACAGG
rnacentral:rRNA from 1 species